GAUGAACGCUGGCGGCGUGCCUAAUACAUGCAAGUCGAGCGAACAGACGAGGAGCUUGCUCCUCUGACGUUAGCGGCGGACGGGUGAGUAACACGUGGAUAACCUACCUAUAAGACUGGGAUAACUUCGGGAAACCGGAGCUAAUACCGGAUAACAUGUUGAACCGCAUGGUUUAACAGUGAAAGACGGUCUUGCUGUCACUUAUAGAUGGAUCCGCGCCGCAUUAGCUAGUUGGUAAGGUAACGGCUUACCAAGGCAACGAUGCGUAGCCGACCUGAGAGGGUGAUCGGCCACACUGGAACUGAGACACGGUCCAGACUCCUACGGGAGGCAGCAGUAGGGAAUCUUCCGCAAUGGGCGAAAGCCUGACGGAGCAACGCCGCGUGAGUGAAGAAGGUCUUCGGAUUGUAAAACUCUGUUAUUAGGGAAGAACAAAUGUGUAAGUAACUAUGCACGUCUUGACGGUACCUAAUCAGAAAGCCACGGCUAACUACGUG
rnacentral:rRNA from 1 species